UGAACAUUCCCGUUUCCUCUUUCUUUCCAGCCUUAGAAAAGCAGAACAAAACAGAGAAGACAGAGAUUUUAGUGAGGAAGACUGCACACACGAGUUACAGCCUAUGGUAACACUCACCUAGCCACAUUAAGAAAACUCAAUUUCACCUACCUCUCCAGCUUUUCCACAGGCCUGUCAUUCUGCCGUUUAUAGGAAAACACAGACGGGACGAAGUCAGGGCUGUCUUCAUCCAUAGAAGCCUGUCCUACAAAAUAAGAAGAAGUAAUUAAAGCUAGUGUCAGCCUACCUUAUUAUGUAGUUAGCUAGCUAAGGUUAUCCUUUUCGUUGGCUACUAACUGUGGUGAAAGUUAGCAAAUCCAACUACUUGAACAUAAUACCUGUACAUGACACGGGCCUUCUCACUACUUUCUACGAUUGCAAACCUGCAACGGUUGAAAGGCAGACGACACCAACAGUGUACGUUUAUGUUAACGUUAUCUAACUGCUAAUUAGUUGUACUUCGAACAAAGUUUGCUAACUAUGACCUCAAAAAGUCAGCAUCACGACAGAAAUAACUAUACUUGUUAACGUUACAAUUUAUAUUUAAGUGGGCAUUUAGCAUUAUGAGAAAUAUGUAGAUAACGUUACUUUAGCAACGAAAGACAAUAGUUUAUUUACCUUAACUUACCUGAUAUGAAGUAUGCGCUGCAUACGCGAGCAUUUUUGAUGAUCGUUUCUGUCCAGUCCGCUCGUUUUAUUGCGUUUAACCACAGCAGUCUUCGGGUUUUUUGUAUGGCAGUGGCAGCAGGUAUGCGAUAAAAUUUCAAAUUGCCUGUACUCCGUCGAUUCUGGCAACCAACAACACAACAAGAUGACAUUUUAAGCUCCUUGUGCAGCCGACCCUGUGCUGGUUUGUAUUGGCCGCCUCCGGUUGUCCGUUUGUUUUGCCUCCAGCUAACGCUGUGACGUACCUCUGACGUCAGCUAAAAAAGGGCCUAUAAGAAGCCUAAUAAGUCUCCUUUAACGUGUGUGCGUGUGUGUGUGUGCGUGUGUGUGUGUGUGUGUGUGUGUGUGUAUGCUUGAAGAGUUAAAAUUGUGUCUGUCAGUGUAUUAAUGUGCCUGUGUAUGUGUUCAGUGAAGAGGACACAAACAGGUGUGCAGAAAAUAGCUUAAAUUCAGUCCACCAAUCAGAACAGAGGACCCAGUCCUUUGAUCUUUAAUCAGCUAACUUACGACACCAAGGUAACCAGCUCUACAAUAGAGACAGAUAGGAAAAUCCUUCUGAGACUUUCUGUCAAACAAACCUCCAUUGAGACAAAACUAUAGGUUGUAUCGGCAAAAUGACCUGACCAGCUGCAGCAGAAGGCAUUUGUGAAAAUUGUGAUAUGUUUUUUGUGUGGAUAAAGUAAAAAGAAGUGAGGUUUUCAGUGAGUUAAAAAAACUGGUACGUUCUGCUCUGCUCCAGAACUUUUGAGGAGAAUUUAUAAUGGCAGCCUAUGGAGGAGUUGGCUGGCGCUCUUGUCCUUUGGAAGGGCACAGCGCCAAAUGUAUAAGUCCGAGGGAUUUGAUAAGCACAUGUGAGGAACCACAACAAAAAUACCUACAUUUCUAGUAUGAAAUGUGAUGAUGAUAUUUGAAGAGUUAAAAUUGUGGUCAGGGUAGCGAGUUAAAGAGAAAUUUUUAAGAUGAAAUUUCAAGAUGCCUGCCCUCUAGCGAUGAUGUCACCCACUCUAACUCACGCAAUACACACCCAUUAA